rnacentral:rRNA from 1 species
UACAGAGGGUGCAAGCGUUAAUCGGAAUACUGGGCGUAAGCGUGACGCAGACGGUUGCGUAAGUCAGAUGUGAAAGCCCCGGGCUCAACCUGGGAAUUGCAUUUGAGACUGCGUAGCUAGGGUGCGGAAGAGGGAAGCGGAAUUUCCGGGUGUAGCGGUGAAAUGACGUAGAUAUCGGAAGGAACACCAGUGGCGAAAGCGGCUUCCUGGUCCAGCACCGACGUUCAGGCACGAAAGCGUGGGGAGCAAACA